rnacentral:lncRNA from 13 species
UGAUGUACUGUACUAGGAGAGAGAGUAUAAUGUCUGGAAACUGAAUGUUGAUGUACUGUACUAGGAGUAUAAUGUCUGGAAACUGAAUGUUGAUGUACUGUACUAGGAGAGAGAGUAUAAUGUCUGGAAACUGAAUGUUGAUGUACUGUACCAGGAGAGAGAGUAUAAUGUCUGGAAACUGAAUGUUGAUGUACUGUACCAGGAGUAUAAUGUCUGGAAACUGAAUGUUGAUGUACUGUACUAGGGUGGAAUAUUGAAUAUAAACUCAGCCUUGUGUGUGUUAUUAAAGCACUAGCAUGUUCACCAGCCUUCAGUCAUUAUUUCAUUCAGAUGAAUUGCAGAUUACCAGCAGGUUAAUAGGGAUUAUUACCAGAUUAUAUCCCAGAUGCUCCUACAACAUGUUCACCAGCCUUCAGUCAUUAUUUCAUUCAGAUGAAUUGCAGAUUACCAGCAGGUUAAUAGGGAUUAUUACCAGAUUAUAUCCCAGACGCUCCUACAACAUGUUCACCAGCCUUCAGUCAUUAUUUCAUUCAGAUGAAUUGCAGAUUACCAGCAGGUUAAUAGGGAUUAUUACCAGAUUAUAUCCCAGACGCUCCUACAACAUGUUCACCAGCCUUCAGUCAUUAUUUCAUUCAGAUGAAUUGCAGAUUACCAGCAGGUUAAUAGGGAUUAUUACCAGAUUAUAUCCCAG